ensembl:snRNA U1 U1 spliceosomal RNA
AUACUUACCUGGCAGGGGAGAUACCAUGAUCACAUAGAUGGUUUUCCCAUGGCAAGUCUCACCCAUUGCACUCUGGAUGUGCUAACCCCUGUAAUUUCACCAAAUAUGGGAAACUCAACUGCAUAAUUUGUGGUAGUGGGGGAUUUUGUUUGUGCUUUCCCCUG